UUCUGAGAAUAAACACACUCCUGAUAAUAAGAAAGAAAGAAAGAAAGAGGAAAGAAGAGAAAAUGGACGA
rnacentral:ribozyme from 14 species